rnacentral:lncRNA from 1 species
AUUACAAAGAAGAAAUAAAAAAAGGUGUGAACAAAAAGAUUUAAGAAAAAAAUAACAAAUGAAAAUAUAAAAUAUAUAAAAAAAAAUAUUUGAGAAAAAAAAUGGGAAAAAGAAGAAAAAAAUAAAAAAUGAAGAGGCAAAAAUAAGAAAUAAAACAAAAAGAAAAAAAAUACAAAAAUUGAAUAAAAAUUUCAAAAAUGAAAUGGAAUGACAAAAUGAAAAAAAAUUAGUUUAAAAAAUUAAAAAAAAAUUGAAAAACAUAUAAGUCCUAACAAUAUAAAAAUUCAGACAAAAAAUUGAAAAAGAAAAAAGUUAAUGCAAAAUAAAAAAAAGUAUGAGAAUUUAAAAAUGCAAAUAAGAAACGAAAGGAAAUUUGUGGAAAAAAAAAAGAGAAGCAAGAAAAGACAAAAGAUUUGGAAUAAAAAAUAGAAAAAUAAAAAUUUUUAAAACAACGAAAAAAUGAAAGCAUAUGAAAA